UGACUGUUGGGGGCCAUCUUGCUUUCCUAACAGAAAAGCCCAGCUGAGAAUGACACCAGCACAGAGGAAAGUAAGCAAGGCCACGAGGUCGGGAAAGAUGAUUGCUACUGAUGUCAUCAAGCACCCAGACCGUUGGCUACAUGAGAAUGGAGACCCCUGCUGGCUUGAGCCACCGCUGUGCCCUGGUGUCUGGAACCAGCCUGGCAUAAGAGGGCCUCAGUGAAUGUGCCCCGGAAACCACAAGUAAGGCGCCUGUCACAAUUGUCCCUCCUCCUGGGGUUUCUUCACGUGGCCCUGCACGGUGUGGCGUGCCCCUUUCUCCUGGGAACCGGGCUUUUCGGGGAGUGUGGUCUUACUGGAACACUCUCCUGUCGAUUGAGCAGGCUGCCACCCUCUAGCCCCGGCCACUCUGUGGGGAGGAGAGCGCCUGCCCUUUGGCUGCAAGGGCAGCCCUGGCCGGGAUGGUAAUGAGAUCCAGAAACUUGAUGUCCUGUCUUCACUCCUGUCCUUAGACAACGUUGUCUGCGUAGGGCACGGGACAGCCACCUAAGCCACGAAGCCUAAGACUCCCAAGUGAGGUUUCCUCGUCAGGGGUCUAAGGUGAUCCCCUCCACAACUCUGGACUAGCCACCUCUGGCCCAACAGCUCCACUGGGAGACGGCGGGAACCAGUACCUGAGUGAAUUAAAACCCAACUGGGGACCGUUCCCUAGGGGAGUUGCUUGUGAAGACUCUAUGGGUGGGACUGUCACUUGGACCAUGAUGGAUUUCCACCUGUGCCGCUUUCUGUCAAUGUCCUCUACUAACUACUACUGACAUUACAAAACUGGGCAAUUGA